rnacentral:rRNA from 1 species
UAGGGAAUUUUCCACAAUGGACGAAAGUCUGAUGGAGCAACGCCGCGUGCAGGAUGAAGGCCCUCGGGUCGUAAACUGCUUUUAUGUGUGAAGAAUAUGACGGUAACACAUGAAUAAGGAUCGGCUAACUCCGUGCCAGCAGCCGCGGUAAUACGGAGGGUGCGAGCGUUAAUCGGAAUUACUGGGCGUAAAGCGUGCGUAGGUGGUUUGUUAAGUCAGAUGUGAAAGCCCUGGGCUCAACCUGGGAAC